UUAAGCGACUAAGCGUACACGGUGGAUGCCCUGGCAGUCAGAGGCGAUGAAGGACGUGCUAAUCUGCGAUAAGCGUCGGUAAGGUGAUAUGAACCGUUAUAACCGGCGAUUUCCGAAUGGGGAAACCCAGUGUGUUUCGACACACUAUCAUUAACUGAAUCCAUAGGUUAAUGAGGCGAACCGGGGGAACUGAAACAUCUAAGUACCCCGAGGAAAAGAAAUCAACCGAGAUUCCCCCAGUAGCGGCGAGCGAACGGGGAGGAGCCCAGAGCCUGAAUCAGUGUGUGUGUUAGUGGAAGCGUCUGGAAAGGCGCGCGAUACAGGGUGACAGCCCCGUACACAAAAAUGCACAUGCUGUGAGCUCGAUGAGUAGGGCGGGACACGUGGUAUCCUGUCUGAAUAUGGGGGGACCAUCCUCCAAGGCUAAAUACUCCUGACUGACCGAUAGUGAACCAGUACCGUGAGGGAAAGGCGAAAAGAACCCCGGCGAGGGGAGUGAAAAAGAACCUGAAACCGUGUACGUACAAGCAGUGGGAGCACGCUUAGGCGUGUGACUGCGUACCUUUUGUAUAAUGGGUCAGCGACUUAUAUUCUGUAGCAAGGUUAACCGAAUAGGGGAGCCGAAGGGAAACCGAGUCUUAACUGGGCGUUAAGUUGCAGGGUAUAGACCCGAAACCCGGUGAUCUAGCCAUGGGCAGGUUGAAGGUUGGGUAACACUAACUGGAGGACCGAACCGACUAAUGUUGAAAAAUUAGCGGAUGACUUGUGGCUGGGGGUGAAAGGCCAAUCAAACCGGGAGAUAGCUGGUUCUCCCCGAAAGCUAUUUAGGUAGCGCCUCGUGAAUUCAUCUCCGGGGGUAGAGCACUGUUUCGGCAAGGGGGUCAUCCCGACUUACCAACCCGAUGCAAACUGCGAAUACCGGAGAAUGUUAUCACGGGAGACACACGGCGGGUGCUAACGUCCGUCGUGAAGAGGGAAACAACCCAGACCGCCAGCUAAGGUCCCAAAGUCAUGGUUAAGUGGGAAACGAUGUGGGAAGGCCCAGACAGCCAGGAUGUUGGCUUAGAAGCAGCCAUCAUUUAAAGAAAGCGUAAUAGCUCACUGGUCGAGUCGGCCUGCGCGGAAGAUGUAACGGGGCUAAACCAUGCACCGAAGCUGCGGCAGCGACGCUGAUGCGUUGUUGGGUAGGGGAGCGUUCUGUAAGCCUGCGAAGGUGUACUGUGAGGCAUGCUGGAGGUAUCAGAAGUGCGAAUGCUGACAUAAGUAACGAUAAAGCGGGUGAAAAGCCCGCUCGCCGGAAGACCAAGGGUUCCUGUCCAACGUUAAUCGGGGCAGGGUGAGUCGACCCCUAAGGCGAGGCCGAAAGGCGUAGUCGAUGGGAAACAGGUUAAUAUUCCUGUACUUGGUGUUACUGCGAAGGGGGGACGGAGAAGGCUAUGUUGGCCGGGCGACGGUUGUCCCGGUUUAAGCGUGUAGGCUGGUUUUCCAGGCAAAUCCGGAAAAUCAAGGCUGAGGCGUGAUGACGAGGCACUACGGUGCUGAAGCAACAAAUGCCCUGCUUCCAGGAAAAGCCUCUAAGCAUCAGGUAACAUCAAAUCGUACCCCAAACCGACACAGGUGGUCAGGUAGAGAAUACCAAGGCGCUUGAGAGAACUCGGGUGAAGGAACUAGGCAAAAUGGUGCCGUAACUUCGGGAGAAGGCACGCUGAUAUGUAGGUGAAGCGACUUGCUCGUGGAGCUGAAAUCAGUCGAAGAUACCAGCUGGCUGCAACUGUUUAUUAAAAACACAGCACUGUGCAAACACGAAAGUGGACGUAUACGGUGUGACGCCUGCCCGGUGCCGGAAGGUUAAUUGAUGGGGUUAGCGCAAGCGAAGCUCUUGAUCGAAGCCCCGGUAAACGGCGGCCGUAACUAUAACGGUCCUAAGGUAGCGAAAUUCCUUGUCGGGUAAGUUCCGACCUGCACGAAUGGCGUAAUGAUGGCCAGGCUGUCUCCACCCGAGACUCAGUGAAAUUGAACUCGCUGUGAAGAUGCAGUGUACCCGCGGCAAGACGGAAAGACCCCGUGAACCUUUACUAUAGCUUGACACUGAACAUUGAGCCUUGAUGUGUAGGAUAGGUGGGAGGCUUUGAAGUGUGGACGCCAGUCUGCAUGGAGCCGACCUUGAAAUACCACCCUUUAAUGUUUGAUGUUCUAACGUUGACCCGUAAUCCGGGUUGCGGACAGUGUCUGGUGGGUAGUUUGACUGGGGCGGUCUCCUCCUAAAGAGUAACGGAGGAGCACGAAGGUUGGCUAAUCCUGGUCGGACAUCAGGAGGUUAGUGCAAUGGCAUAAGCCAGCUUGACUGCGAGCGUGACGGCGCGAGCAGGUGCGAAAGCAGGUCAUAGUGAUCCGGUGGUUCUGAAUGGAAGGGCCAUCGCUCAACGGAUAAAAGGUACUCCGGGGAUAACAGGCUGAUACCGCCCAAGAGUUCAUAUCGACGGCGGUGUUUGGCACCUCGAUGUCGGCUCAUCACAUCCUGGGGCUGAAGUAGGUCCCAAGGGUAUGGCUGUUCGCCAUUUAAAGUGGUACGCGAGCUGGGUUUAGAACGUCGUGAGACAGUUCGGUCCCUAUCUGCCGUGGGCGCUGGAGAACUGAGGGGGGCUGCUCCUAGUACGAGAGGACCGGAGUGGACGCAUCACUGGUGUUCGGGUUGUCAUGCCAAUGGCACUGCCCGGUAGCUAAAUGCGGAAGAGAUAAGUGCUGAAAGCAUCUAAGCACGAAACUUGCCCCGAGAUGAGUUCUCCCUGACCCUUUAAGGGUCCUGAAGGAACGUUGAAGACGACGACGUUGAUAGGCCGGGUGUGUAAGCGCAGCGAUGCGUUGAGCUAACCGGUACUAAUGAACCGUGAGGCUUAACCUU
rnacentral:rRNA from 1 species